rnacentral:miRNA from 1 species
AAGCCCUUCUGUUAGUAGUUGAGU